rnacentral:lncRNA from 10 species
AGCGAUUUUUGAAGCUAGUGGUCUUCUAGUAUACAGUAAGGUCAACUUAUUUUGAAACACAAAAGCACAAUAGAGAAUUAGCUUCCAUCAAUAUACGUACUAUACUGAAUACAGCUGGCUUGAGGAAACUUCUUUUUAAGAACAUUCUAUGAGUGACUGCUAAAUCCUAUUUCUGAUCUUUCUACAUGUUGGCCCAAAAGUUUUCCUUUGUCAUAUUCUCCUAUAGCUAUAAUUUAACCAUCACUGAUUGGAGCAGUUCUACUGUUCCAAGCUGAAAUUCAUUGCCUCAGAUGGAGGUAGGUCUUACUGAGACACUAUUUCAUACAAAUUUAGAAGACAGUUAUGUACUGAUGAUCAAUUAAUAAAUCUCAUGUGCUGUUACUGCUUGAGGCAGCCAAAUUGGAAUGCUGUAAAAAAAUACCCAUAUUUUUUAAAAUACUGAAACAUGGGCUUAGAGACAAUUAUCUUUUUAUUCUUCACUAAAUUUUCAGCAACGUUAGUUUUAACAAGGACUUGGUUUGUGGGAAGAAAGAGGAAAAAAGAGAAAAAUGUAAAUGGAGGGUUAGGAUUUGCUUCAGAGAAAAUUUAGGCUUGGCUUUGCUACAAAUAAUGUAUCAUUUUUCCAUAAACGAAUUAAAUAACUUUAAAUUUAUUUAAUUGGUCCAGAUCACAUUAAUCUUGAUUUCCUGGGAAAAAUACAUACAUAUUAAUGCUGAAAUAUAGUAUAAAAGUCUUCUUGAACUGUCAAAAUUCAGUGUCUGAUAUUAAGGAUAUAAAUUACUCAGCUCUACUGCCAUGAGGUCAGGAGAUCAAGACCAUCCUGGCUAACACGGUGAAACCCCGCAUCUACUAAAAAUACAAAAAAAAAUUAGCCAGGUGUGGUGGCAGGCACCUGUAGUCCCAGCUACUCGGGAGGCUGAGGCAGGAGAAUGGUGUGAACCCAGGAGGCAGAGCUUGCAGUGAGCCAAGAUUGCACCACUGCACUCCAGCCUGGGCGACAGAGCGAGGCUCUGUCUCAAAAAAAAAAAAAAAA